AUUGAACGCUGGCGGCAGGCCUAACACAUGCAAGUCGAGCGGAUGAAGGGAGCUUGCUCCUGGAUUCAGCGGCGGACGGGUGAGUAAUGCCUAGGAAUCUGCCUGGUAGUGGGGGAUAACGUCCGGAAACGGGCGCUAAUACCGCAUACGUCCUGAGGGAGCAAGUGGGGGAUCUUCGGACCUCACGCUAUCAGAUGAGCCUAGGUCGGAUUAGCUAGUUGGUGGGGUAAAGGCCUACCAAGGCGACGAUCCGUAACUGGUCUGAGAGGAUGAUCAGACACAUUGGAACUGAGACACGGUCCAGACUCCUACGGGAGGCAGCAGUGGGGAAUAUUGGACAAUGGGCGAAAGCCUGAUCCAGCCAUGCCGCGUGUGUGAAGAAGGUCUUCGGAUUGUAAAGCACUUUAAGUUGGGAGGAAGGGCAGUAAGUUAAUACCUUGCUGUUUUGACGGUACCAACAGAAUAAGCACCGGCUAACUUCGUG
rnacentral:rRNA from 1 species